GCGCGGGUGGUGGAAUUGGCAGACACGCUACUUUGAGGGGGUAGUGGGGCAACCCAUGAGAGUUCAAGUCUCUCCCCGCGCA
rnacentral:tRNA from 2 species